rnacentral:lncRNA from 1 species
CUUUUUUUUCUAUCUGUCCAACUCUUCUGUCUAUCCUGUGCUGCUUUGAGUCUUUUCUUGAUCAGAUAGAUUUUCUCUCUAGCAUCCAUUUAUUAUCAGUAAAAUCUUUCCUUAUUUACAACUAACGUAUUUCAUAAUAUCUUUUGAUUUAAAGGAUUAAUAUUUCUAAUCAAUUCAGACCAUCACGCUUUUGCUGCGCACUCUGAUCUCAACUUACCAAAUUAUCUAAGUCUAUCAAAAAUAAAAAUAUCUUUGUAUAUUAAAUCAAUCAAAGAUAGAUCCAACUUUCAGAUUGCAUAUACAAUUUAGGAUAAAAUUUAAGAUUUCUUUGUCAUUACUAUCUCUUAAGCAUAGCACAUCAAAAUUAAAUCUUCAUCCACCUUCUAUGUUUGAACUUAUUACAUAAACUUCACCACUCCUCAAGAAUCCAAUAUGUCUAGAAUUAAUUUGAGUUAACCUUCGAUUUACCUUACAAUCAUUUAAACAACUUUCAAACCAACUUUUUUUUACAAAAAAAUUAACAUCAAAAUCAGCAAAGUUAUCAUGUCCUUUAUCCAUAUAGGUUUAGCAUUCCAAUAUCAUCAAAUAUACCUAACAUAAUAUAUCAAUACCUCCCACUUCAUUCUAGGGUCAACACUUCUCGUACUCAGGUCAACCUUGCUAAUUGAAAUCUAAGACAUAACUCGUCAAUUCUAUUAUAGACAUCAUAUGUCACUUAUGCAUAAAUUUCAUUAUAAUACCUAUUGAUUCGAAAUCAAAUUAUUGAAUCCUUUCUUUUAUAUCUAUCAUGUUCCUCAUGAUCUUAGCCUCAAGUUUAAAUAUCACUAAAAUCACAA